GCCAGUGUGGCAUAAUGAUUCAAGGGUUUGACUAUGACUCUGGGGACCAGGGUUCGAAUCCCUGUUUGGUCA